CAGUCGCCGCGGGAAAACGGAGGGUGCAAGCGUUAUCCGGAUUUAUUGGGUUUAAAGGGUCCGUAGGCGGAUCUGUAAGUCAGUGGUGAAAUCUCACAGCUUAACUGUGAAACUGCCAUUGAUACUGCAGGUCUUGAGUAAAUUUGAAGUGGCUGGAAUAAGUAGUGUAGCGGUGAAAUGCAUAGAUAUUACUUAGAACACCAAUUGAGAAGGCAGGUCACUAAGAUUUAACUGACGCUGAUGGACGAAAGCGUGGGGAGCGAACAGGAUUAGAUACCCCUGUAGUCCCUGUCUCUUAUAC
rnacentral:rRNA from 1 species